CAAAAUUUGCCCUCAUAUAUUUACGAACGCCAUUUUAUUUCGAAUAAAUGAACUGGCACAGUUGGUAAGAAUUUGAGCAUGAAAAGCACAAUAGUGAGAGAUCUCUGGUUCGAAUAUCACUUCUAACAUUUUUCUCUUUUACUUAAUUCUAACUUUAUUUCACUAUUCUUCAAAAAAAAUCACAAAAAAAAAAUGUUUUUUUAUAUUUAAGUAUUAUUUUCGCAUUUAUUAUUUAUUAAAAAUACCUUUUUCAUAUUUCAUUCAAAAAUUAUAAAAUAAAAAGAUUUUGUUCACUUUUUUAUUUAAGGGUAAUAAUAUGUUUCAUAGAAAGAAUCAUGUAAUUGAUUUAAAAAUAAUCACAAGAUCAAAAUCGAAUAAAAUUGAUUUUUAGACCUUUAAUUAUCUUUGAUUGAUUGAAUUGGUUAUUUCCCUUUUUAUUGACCUAGUUUGACUGAUAUAAAUAGGUGCAUUCUUAAUCAUAGAAGAGGACAUUUUUUUCCGACCCUAUUCUCUGCUAACCCUAUUCUGAAUUUGUACACAUUCACGCACAAACCCUCUCUCUCAUUAACCUAUACAAUUUCAAUCCUCCCACUUUCUCCUUUACAGUAAUAGCUAACAAUUACAUUCUCUAACCUUCACUUACAUAUUCACAGGUCUUUCACAAGUUAUCACCACAACAUCUCCCCAUGUUUUUCAUGAACCAUCAUAAAACUUCUUCCAUAUACAUGUAGCCGAAAAUCAUCAUAAACUCAUCACAAACAACUUCAAACCCACUACUUACCUUCGGUCAUUAUACUUCUUACUAAUCCAAUCUUACACCAAAAACAAAACCUUCAAAUUCUCACGUCAACAAACACCAUCAAAAAGUCAUAAAUUCAACCACAUCACACUCAGAAACCAUCACUAAUACAAACAAUACAAAUUGCACCAAGUUUCUUAUUUUCUUUAUUGCAGAUCGAACCAAAAGAAAGAAAGCGGGAAUCGAUCGUAUUCAUCGGAGAUCCCCACCGUCGGCGUUUCAGCCGUCCGUCGCGGACUCCACCGUCAACCACUGACUUACGAAAGUUUCAACCGCUCCAGCCUGCACAUCGCACAACACAAAGCAUCCUGUUCAAAGCUCAGUUUCGCACAGAUCAUCAUCGUUCAUUCAAAUCCAGCCAACACACUGCGAUCUCACGAAUCCACCGACGCCAAAACCGAAAAACAGAUCCGAAGCGACCUCCACGCAAAUACGUCGCUGCUGCAUCUACGUCGGCAAGGCCUUCCUCCGCCGUCAACGCCCGCGGAUCGAAUCUCUCCGAUGAGAAUCACCGCUCCGACACCGCUUUUGUUAAUUCCGAUCCGCUGUCACUGUAAGUAACCAUCUUAUUUCCAUCUUUGAUUGAUGUCUUUGUUUGUGUUUGGCAUACAUAUUUUGGAAUCUUAAAGAAGGGAGAAGAAAAUUGAUAUCGAAUUGUUGUUGUUUCAUGCUUGGCUACUGUAAGCAGAGAGAAAGAAUUGGGAACACAAAGGGGACGAAAGAGAAUAAGUUCUUGCCUUUUGAUUUUUGUUAAUUAAGUCAAAUUGCCACUUGUCAUAAUUUGUUUGGUUAGAAUUAAGUUGAAAAGGAUUAAAAAAGAACCUGACCACUAAAGUGGUCCGCCUCUGUUCCACUUUUACUGUAAUUUUCUUUAUGUUAAUAUUUCCAUCUAUUUAUAUUAGGUUAGUGUAAUUAUCUAGUUUAGUUAGGUGGGUUGGUUAUUCAAAAGAUUAAUAUAGCUAUUUAAUUUUGUAAGUAUCAAAUAAUCUAGAAAUCAAAAAUACAAAAAUAUUUAAUUAGAUUAUUUAGUUUUAAUUUCAUAAGAUAUAAAAAUACAAAAAUAUUUGUUUUAAUUUUAGGAUUUAAGAUGAUUUUUAGAUUUUUUUUGUUAAUUUUGAUUCAUAUUUUACUCAUAUUUUGUCAUUCUCUACCCUAUUUUUUUCGAGGUACAUUCGAGCUGUUCAUUUGUUCUCGUGGAUAUCUGCAAAUUCAUCCUCAAUCUCCCACACUGGAUCCUACGGUUGAUCAAGAUACUCCGACUACAAACCAUAUCAGAUCAAAUCAAAAGCUAAGUCCUAUUUCAUAUUUAUUUUAAAUAAUCAUUCUAUUUUAUUUUGUUUUUAUUAAAUUAGGGUUAAAUUUGAUUGCCCUUGAAUUAGCCAUACACUCACUGUAUUUUAUUCUUCUGUCAAUUCUCAGAUGGUCAGAGUCAAUGCUUCAGGCUACCUCCGACUAUCAACCUUCGUCAAUCGAAGCUAAGUUUCUUUUACCAUUUUUCUUUUAUUGUUAUUUUAUGGAUUAGGGUUAACUAUGAUUGCUUCUGAACCGAUAAUGCACUCACCCCUUUUGUUUAUUCUUUCUUUUCCAAUUUUCAGGGUUUGUCGAAUGCCAAAGCUACGUCAGUGGUAACCCUAAACCCUAGCUCUAUAUUUUAUGUCUUUUAUUAUUACUUAUGUCAAACCCUAUUAAGGGAUCCGCUGGUUACAAUUUCCCUCCCCCAUAUUAUUGUUUCUUGCCUUAUAUUAUCUGCGUGGUUAGUAAAAUAGGGAGUGGCAACCAUGAAUUGAAUUUAGAAUCGCUAAUUUACAAGAUAAUAUAAUUGAAUAUAAUCACGUGAUUGGUGCACACACGCACGCUUUUGGGUAACCUCUCUGUUGCCUUGUUGCCUUGUUGCCUUGUUGCCUUGUUGCCUUUGUGUUUUUGCAGAAUAAGCCUCGUCCCUCGAAUUCGAGGAUACCUCAGCCAUGUUGCCUAGAUAAAAAGGUCACGACCCUAAUGAUGCUGCCUUCGAUACACAAAUGACCUCGACCCUCGGAUGUUGCCUACGGAAAAAGGCUGAGGUAUCUUCUGGCUGCCUACGAAAAGGCUUAUUCUGAUCCUUACCUUAGACUACCUGCCCUUCUAUGGCAUGGGACAGUCUUAUGGCAAAGGAUGCUUCGAUGACCCUUCAACCUCCAAACGAAAGGCUUCCUGCCCUCUUAUGGCAAGGAUAGACCCUUUCAUUCUGAAAGGCAAAAAGAGACCUAUCAUCUGAGUUUAAGGUAAUUGCCCCUAAUUGCCUUGCAAUGCUCAAACCUUUUUAUUAUAUUCUUUCUCAUAAUUUUUCAAAAGGGCAACGCUUAUUCACAAGCUAAAGUCCCUAUCUCUUUCAUCUACACUUUCUAAACAAAUGAGCAAGCAAAGCAAUUAAGAGCCCAUGGAAAACCAUGGAUGCAAAGGGUGCCUUACACCUUCCCUUUGCAUAAAUUACCCCCCGAACUCAGAUUUCUUAAAAGGUUUUUUUCUGUUUCUUUUUGCCUUUCCGAAUAUAGUUUGGAUAAAAUAAAAGUCGGUGGCGACUCUUGCUUACCGCGACAUUUCGAUUGAUAAAAAGUCAGUUCACCGUAUUACAGAACUGGCGACUCUGCUGGGGAUUUCCGAUUAAGAGGGGUUACCUUAAAAGUUUAGGAUUCACCUUAAAUGUUUUCUAUUGUUUGCUUUGUUUGUUUUAUUUUUCAGGGGUGUUUUGGGAAUUAACUGAUGGACGAAUCCUAUUCCCGGAUUCAAGAACACUUAAGAUUAGGAGUGGCAUAGUCAUGGCGACCUCUUUCACAUAUGUGGGAGAUGAGUCAAUAUGAAGUUCACGCUUGAGUUAGGACUCCAUAGCAUAUGCACACCUUUCUCAAAUGAGGGGGGUCUAUGUAUGUGUCUGUGGGUGCGCCGGAGCUCAAGGACCUUUAGUUACCCUUAACCCAUCCUGGCCUUUAGGAACGUAGUGGGGGGACUACCCUUGACAAAUGUUAAGGACUAGUCGCUACCCGAUACUACAAUUCAGAUAGGUUCUUUCUCAAAGUAUCAUUGCAUGGUGCGAAUGCAUCAUGUCCGAGGGUGCUUUAGAAGGGCUGACAAUUCUGGAUAACUUGUAGAACCCGUUGCUGAAAUCUCCUUAUCCAUAGAAAUACCCUUGGGAAGGACACCUGAUCAGACUCCAUGCAAGCCUUAAGCCAAAAAUUGUGUGACUUGUGUGACUUGUUUGUGUUUGCUACUAACCUUCAUUUCCUUGCAGGUUUUGUUAAAAGGACUUUUUUUGUCCUUACUAUCUCACACUAUGCCAAAUGAACUUCAUCCGCAUAACAUCAUGACAUCAUGACAUCAUAAGCAUAACAUGAUUUAACUAACCCUUUCAAGGAUCUCAGGAAUUUAGGGCGCGCGAUUUCAGGUGCUCUUAUCAAAGACUGAAUUCCUCUCAAGGGGCAAGAGGAUUUAUUUUCCUCUGGCCACGUACCUUCCAAUUCAGAGACUCAGUACCUAUCAAGGGGCAAGAGGAUUUAUUUUCCUCUAGCCAUGUACCUUCGAAUUUUCAUAGGUAUCCCGAAUCAGAGGCGAUGAACCACUCGAUAUGGUGAGCUCGAUUCUCAAAAAAGGAUGUUCAAAGAUAAAAUUCAGAAUUCUUCAGACAAAGACGCAGCCAAUCAUUUUCUAACGUCGCAAACUAAAUUUCCUAUAGAUCCUUGAAAACAUUGCAUUUGCAUUCAUAACAUCGCAUAACAGGUUUCUCACAAUAGGUAUCUCAUCCUCUCUUGCUGUUUACUUCAGCCCAAAUGGAUUUCGAUCAAUCAGGCGAACACCUUCAGGCUCAGAGCAUCUGAUCUCAAACUUUGAUUCUGAACUCAGCCAAGGGGCAAGAAGAAUUAAAGGCACUCCAAUUCUUGGGGUACAACUACAAUGCGAGAUGCGCUUAUUAUUCGAACAAUCCUAGUUAUGGUGUAAAUGAUGGUAGACCGUUGAAGCGUGCCAUUAAAGAUUUAAUCAUGACACUCAAAUCAGAAAAGACCACGACAAUGAAGUCACGACAACUAAGUCACGACAACUGAGUCACGACAACAAAGUCACGACAACAAAGUCACGACAACUGAGUCACGAUAAUGGAAUCACGACAACUGAGUCACGAUAAUAGAAUCACGACAACGAAGUCACGACAACUGAGUCACGAUAAUGGAAUCAUGACAACUGAGUCACGAUAAUGGAAUCACGACAACAAAGUCACGACAACUGAGUCACGAUAAUGGAAUCACGACAACUGAGUCACAACAAUCAAUUCACUCAUAUGAUCCAGAUGCUCAGGGCAAUCGAGCCAACGAAUUCUAACAUCUACUAUAAACCCAAUGUGAGGUGCGCGUACCAUUCCAACAGUCUUGGACAUUACACAAACAAUUGCUGGACAUUAAAGAAUAAGAUUCAAGAUCUGAUCAAUGACAGAGAAAUCAAAUCCAACCCUCCUGAAACCCCUGUGGUGAUCACCGCUCCUAUGCCUAGUCAUGACAUGAUUGAUUGACGUCUCGACGGACGAACUUUUUGAUCAUUAGAUCUACUUUCAUUUGCAAUUUCUAUUCUGUUUGUUUAAACAUUCAAAUUAUGAUAGACAUUAUCUGUUUUAAUAAUCAUCAUCAGUGCAUUGCAUAUGUUUGUCUUGAAUAAAUUAGUUCGUUAUCACUCAUUUUAAAUUAUGUCUUUAUUCUGCAUAUGUUUUUGUGAUACUCAACUCCUGCUAAAGUUGUAAGCCUUUUGAGGGAGGAUGACGAAAGCGAUACCGCAACCUCAUACAGUAUGCUUUUGAGCAGACUAUGCUGACGAUGUACAGGCAUUGUUUCAAUUCCUAAACAGUGGAGAUAUAAGGAUGUUAAUCCCUCGUCAACCCCUUUAAGCCUAAGAAGUAGAAGUUUCUUUUUUGUACUAAAACCCUUGAUCAUAACCUGGGGCAGGGUAGUUCUCAGUUAAUUUGGCUGUGCAUUCUAUUAUAAGAGAAUCAUUCAGUACAUUUUUCAACAAAGGGUUCAAUCACAAGCGUUCAUCCGCAUACAUCAAAGAAGUGUUGGAAAUGUCAGUCAAAAACCAAUGAUGGUUCAUCGAUCAUUAAGCAAGGCAGUCAAUAUCUUUCGAAAAGAGAAAAAAAUGAAUGAAAAUACAUAUACAAGGAAAAGCCUGCUAAGUCAAAAAUCAAAAAGAUGACUUAGGCAAAACACAAGGCAUCCCGCUGACUGUAAGCUCAAAAUAGACAGUUCAGGCAAAAGUUAGGGAUAUCAAAAAGAUGAAAAAAAGAGAAGUCAAUAAAUUCCUGAACCACACAAUGUUGUGACUACCAAAAGGAAGAAGUGACUGCCAUCUCAAAAGUUCUCUUUGCUUGUGAACCGUCAUCAUUAUCAAAGGUGCAAAUCCAAAAGUCUCUUGGAACCUGAAUGCAUAAGUUGAAUUAACUGAGCUUAGGACUGAAGAUCAUCACGAAGAGGGGUGGGUACAAUCAAAAUUUGAGCCUUUAUCUUUUGUUUCUUAAACCGUGAACCAAGCCACGUUACAACCCUCGAAAGUCCUAACUGAAGCAUGGUUAGUUCAAAGGCAUACUGUCACCAAAAGGGUAUCCCGACUCUUUAAAGUUUACUACAAAUGUUAAGUUGAUAUCCUGUUUUUCACAAACAUCACAUUAUUACAAAUAACAUGUUUUUACGAACAUCACGCUUUUACAUCUCUUGUUUUAAUGUUUUUUCAAAACUCAAGACAAAUGUAUGCAUCGCAUCUCAUGAAUUCAUUAUUAAACGUAUUCUGCUACAUAAUUUCAAAUGUUAGCAUCAGAAAGAACUUGCACAGGGUACAACUAAUGACUGAAAGCUAUCCCGACAGACAAGAUUACUCCGAGAAGAAAUGUCUCCUACAUAUACAAGAGGCACGACACGCUUUGCCCAAUCAAUCUGGGGCAAUCCGGUCAAGAAUCUCUCAAAUGCCAAAAAGUUAAGAGGCGUACAUCCCAAGUGGGUUUCAAACUAUUUCCCGAUCAAUCUGGGGCAAUCAAGUCAAGACUCCGAGAAUCUUAAAAGCAAAAACAGUCAGAGGUAUCGUCCUAAGCUUAUAAUUACUAGGGGUAUGUCACCCAUAGGGCAUAUCUCAUGAAGUCCUCGCGAGGCGAAUCUUUCCAAAUUUCUGGGGGCAAAUCUACGCAAGUCCAGUUUGAUAUCUUCGAUCAAUACUCAUUGGCAUGUUCUAAUCAAUACAAAUCCAGGAAUGGCAAGUGCUAUAAUAUCGGGGGCAACUGUCAAGACACCUAUGUCUCCCCACCAAGCCAAGUUCACAAGAUCAUAUCCCCACAGAGCAAUCCUUCAAGAAGAUAUCUUCAAACAUACUCGUCCCGACCAAUACACGGCUCCCCAACAGAGUUGACAUCUUCAACACCACCGACACUUUGUUCUUCUCCAACAUGGCUUACUAAUAUCUUUCAUCCCCAGUCAGGAUCCAUCAAAUUACUAUUCAUCCCCAAGCAGAAGUCAUAAAUCCCCGGCUACAUCUCCUCAAAACAAGAUCAAAUCACAAUGAUACAGAGAUUUAUUUUCUCAGAACAACAUCAGUCAUGCAUCAUAUACAUCACACGCAUAUUCAUACAUUGCAGGCGGUUAUAAUUCAUACAUAACAUACAAAACGUUCCAUUUAUUUUGAGAACUCCAUCUCAUUCAUUACAUACAUCAUAAACAUUGCAUAAAACUUACAUUGUUACCAAGUGAAUAUUAUCUGACAGGUACAUUACAAAGAUUCGAAUCUUAUUCAAAGCCUAACGCACGGCACUCCAGACAUCUGCGGAUGCAAAUCGGAUUAGUCUAACGCACGACUUAUCCAUCAACCUAACGCACGGUUUUCCAGACAUCUGAGGAUGCAACUGAGAAUAGUCUAACGCACGACUUAUCCUUCAGCCUAACGCACGGUUUUCCAGACAUCUGAGGAUGCAACUGAGAAUAGUCUAACGCACGAUUUAUCUUCGACCUAACGCACGGUCUUCCAGACAUCUACGGAUGCAAAUUGGGUAGUCUAACGCACGACUUAUCCAUCAACCUAACGCACGGUUUUCCAGACAUCUGAGGAUGCAAUUGAAGAUAGUCUAACGCACGAUUUAUCUUCAGCCUAACGCACGGCCUUCCAGACAUCUACGGAUGCAAACUAGAAAUAGUCUAACGUAUGACACAUUCUAACUCUCGAGCUUAUCAAGUCAGAUGGCAUCUUUAAGCCCAUCUCUAAACAACUACUUCUCAAACACUUCAGUCCCAACAUCUAGGUGGCAUCUUUAAAGCCCAUCUCUGACAAAAGUCCCUAAUUCAGCUAGGGCAAAUUUCUUGGUAUUCUAGUGUUCAAUCAUCUUCCACCUUCAGAUACCGACUGGCAUACAAACCACUCUACAUCUUCAGGUUUAAGAUAAUUGAACAGGGGCAGCUGUCAUACCCCAAAAUUUGCCCUCAUAUAUUUACGAACGCCAUUUUAUUUCGAAUAAAUGAACUGGCACAGUUGGUAAGAAUUUGAGCAUGAAAAGCACAAUAGUGAGAGAUCUCUGGUUCGAAUAUCACUUCUAACAUUUUUCUCUUUUACUUAAUUCUAACUUUAUUUCACUAUUCUUCAAAAAAAAUCACAAAAAAAAAAUGUUUUUUUAUAUUUAAGUAUUAUUUUCGCAUUUAUUAUUUAUUAAAAAUACCUUUUUCAUAUUUCAUUCAAAAAUUAUAAAAUAAAAAGAUUUUGUUCACUUUUUUAUUUAAGGGUAAUAAUAUGUUUCAUAGAAAGAAUCAUGUAAUUGAUUUAAAAAUAAUCACAAGAUCAAAAUCGAAUAAAAUUGAUUUUUAGACCUUUAAUUAUCUUUGAUUGAUUGAAUUGGUUAUUUCCCUUUUUAUUGACCUAGUUUGACUGAUAUAAAUAGGUGCAUUCUUAAUCAUAGAAGAGGACAUUUUUUUCCGACCCUAUUCUCUGCUAACCCUAUUCUGAAUUUGUACACAUUCACGCACAAACCCUCUCUCUCAUUAACCUAUACAAUUUCAAUCCUCCCACUUUCUCCUUUACAGUAAUAGCUAACAAUUACAUUCUCUAACCUUCACUUACAUAUUCACAGGUCUUUCACAAGUUAUCACCACAACAUCUCCCCAUGUUUUUCAUGAACCAUCAUAAAACUUCUUCCAUAUACAUGUAGCCGAAAAUCAUCAUAAACUCAUCACAAACAACUUCAAACCCACUACUUACCUUCGGUCAUUAUACUUCUUACUAAUCCAAUCUUACACCAAAAACAAAACCUUCAAAUUCUCACGUCAACAAACACCAUCAAAAAGUCAUAAAUUCAACCACAUCACACUCAGAAACCAUCACUAAUACAAACAAUACAAAUUGCACCAAGUUUCUUAUUUUCUUUAUUGCAGAUCGAACCAAAAGAAAGAAAGCGGGAAUCGAUCGUAUUCAUCGGAGAUCCCCACCGUCGGCGUUUCAGCCGUCCGUCGCGGACUCCACCGUCAACCACUGACUUACGAAAGUUUCAACCGCUCCAGCCUGCACAUCGCACAACACAAAGCAUCCUGUUCAAAGCUCAGUUUCGCACAGAUCAUCAUCGUUCAUUCAAAUCCAGCCAACACACUGCGAUCUCACGAAUCCACCGACGCCAAAACCGAAAAACAGAUCCGAAGCGACCUCCACGCAAAUACGUCGCUGCUGCAUCUACGUCGGCAAGGCCUUCCUCCGCCGUCAACGCCCGCGGAUCGAAUCUCUCCGAUGAGAAUCACCGCUCCGACACCGCUUUUGUUAAUUCCGAUCCGCUGUCACUGUAAGUAACCAUCUUAUUUCCAUCUUUGAUUGAUGUCUUUGUUUGUGUUUGGCAUACAUAUUUUGGAAUCUUAAAGAAGGGAGAAGAAAAUUGAUAUCGAAUUGUUGUUGUUUCAUGCUUGGCUACUGUAAGCAGAGAGAAAGAAUUGGGAACACAAAGGGGACGAAAGAGAAUAAGUUCUUGCCUUUUGAUUUUUGUUAAUUAAGUCAAAUUGCCACUUGUCAUAAUUUGUUUGGUUAGAAUUAAGUUGAAAAGGAUUAAAAAAGAACCUGACCACUAAAGUGGUCCGCCUCUGUUCCACUUUUACUGUAAUUUUCUUUAUGUUAAUAUUUCCAUCUAUUUAUAUUAGGUUAGUGUAAUUAUCUAGUUUAGUUAGGUGGGUUGGUUAUUCAAAAGAUUAAUAUAGCUAUUUAAUUUUGUAAGUAUCAAAUAAUCUAGAAAUCAAAAAUACAAAAAUAUUUAAUUAGAUUAUUUAGUUUUAAUUUCAUAAGAUAUAAAAAUACAAAAAUAUUUGUUUUAAUUUUAGGAUUUAAGAUGAUUUUUAGAUUUUUUUUGUUAAUUUUGAUUCAUAUUUUACUCAUAUUUUGUCAUUCUCUACCCUAUUUUUUUCGAGGUACAUUCGAGCUGUUCAUUUGUUCUCGUGGAUAUCUGCAAAUUCAUCCUCAAUCUCCCACACUGGAUCCUACGGUUGAUCAAGAUACUCCGACUACAAACCAUAUCAGAUCAAAUCAAAAGCUAAGUCCUAUUUCAUAUUUAUUUUAAAUAAUCAUUCUAUUUUAUUUUGUUUUUAUUAAAUUAGGGUUAAAUUUGAUUGCCCUUGAAUUAGCCAUACACUCACUGUAUUUUAUUCUUCUGUCAAUUCUCAGAUGGUCAGAGUCAAUGCUUCAGGCUACCUCCGACUAUCAACCUUCGUCAAUCGAAGCUAAGUUUCUUUUACCAUUUUUCUUUUAUUGUUAUUUUAUGGAUUAGGGUUAACUAUGAUUGCUUCUGAACCGAUAAUGCACUCACCCCUUUUGUUUAUUCUUUCUUUUCCAAUUUUCAGGGUUUGUCGAAUGCCAAAGCUACGUCAGUGGUAACCCUAAACCCUAGCUCUAUAUUUUAUGUCUUUUAUUAUUACUUAUGUCAAACCCUAUUAAGGGAUCCGCUGGUUACAAUUUCCCUCCCCCAUAUUAUUGUUUCUUGCCUUAUAUUAUCUGCGUGGUUAGUAAAAUAGGGAGUGGCAACCAUGAAUUGAAUUUAGAAUCGCUAAUUUACAAGAUAAUAUAAUUGAAUAUAAUCACGUGAUUGGUGCACACACGCACGCUUUUGGGUAACCUCUCUGUUGCCUUGUUGCCUUGUUGCCUUGUUGCCUUUGUGUUUUUGCAGAAUAAGCCUCGUCCCUCGAAUUCGAGGAUACCUCAGCCAUGUUGCCUAGAUAAAAAGGUCACGACCCUAAUGAUGCUGCCUUCGAUACACAAAUGACCUCGACCCUCGGAUGUUGCCUACGGAAAAAGGCUGAGGUAUCUUCUGGCUGCCUACGAAAAGGCUUAUUCUGAUCCUUACCUUAGACUACCUGCCCUUCUAUGGCAUGGGACAGUCUUAUGGCAAAGGAUGCUUCGAUGACCCUUCAACCUCCAAACGAAAGGCUUCCUGCCCUCUUAUGGCAAGGAUAGACCCUUUCAUUCUGAAAGGCAAAAAGAGACCUAUCAUCUGAGUUUAAGGUAAUUGCCCCUAAUUGCCUUGCAAUGCUCAAACCUUUUUAUUAUAUUCUUUCUCAUAAUUUUUCAAAAGGGCAACGCUUAUUCACAAGCUAAAGUCCCUAUCUCUUUCAUCUACACUUUCUAAACAAAUGAGCAAGCAAAGCAAUUAAGAGCCCAUGGAAAACCAUGGAUGCAAAGGGUGCCUUACACCUUCCCUUUGCAUAAAUUACCCCCCGAACUCAGAUUUCUUAAAAGGUUUUUUUCUGUUUCUUUUUGCCUUUCCGAAUAUAGUUUGGAUAAAAUAAAAGUCGGUGGCGACUCUUGCUUACCGCGACAUUUCGAUUGAUAAAAAGUCAGUUCACCGUAUUACACCCUCGUUAAGAUAAAUAUCAACCGUUCCUCUUCCAAACGAUUUCGCUCCUAUAUGAAAUUCAUAGCGCGCUAAAACAAAAAUUUUCGUUCCCACUCUGAAAUAUAGAGCGCUAAAACAAAUUAUUUCAUUCCCUGUGCUGAAAUUGAAACUCAAAAUUCUUCUCCCCCAAACUCGUCAAACCUUCAUCUUAACCCUUUUUUCCCUUCUCCAUUAAUUCUUCAGAAUAUGUGAACGAUUAUUCUCCCAAACCCUAACCCUAAUCUUUUCUUCCCUUCUCCUUCUUCUCGAACCCUUCAACUUGCAUACACAUAAUUAGGAUUUAUCAAGGGUUUCACAAAACUCAACUACUUCACAGAAUUAUGUCAUUCAACGGCUUCAAGAAACAUUUCAAUCAAAGGUUUGAUGUAAGUCUCUGGCGACAAUGAUUUCCAUGGAAGGUGCAAGGGUCAUAGCACGUUGUGAGGUGGAUUUUUCAUUUUCAGGAUGUGUAAGACUUGUCGCUUCGGUAAGAGUUUCCUUCAACUUGCGUAUAAUCUCCCCUUCAAUUUCCAUCCAGUACUUUGAUUCACAAUAAAAAUUAGUUAUUUUUGCUCUAGCUUAUGAUUUAAUCAAUUUUUCUUCUUCUGUUUUAUUUGCUACGGAAAUAACCUUGCUCUGCCUUGCUGGAACUACAAUUAGCUAAGACAGUGUGCUGUCUGCUAGAACUACUUGUAGUUGAGUGAGUAUGCGAGAGUUAAAUUCUUCUCGGUAACAACAAUUUAGUGCUACAUUAUUAUUUUGAGAAAUUUGUGUCUACUGAUUUGGAGUUGUGGUGCUUAUUGAGUCUACUGACUUUUAAAUUAAUUUGUUUGUUUUGUCUUUUUUAGUACUUUAUUGUACUGUGAAAAAAAUGAUGCAUAGAAUUUGUUUGUGAAUAUGAUAACUUAUUUGAGUACUUUACUAUACUGUGAAAAUGACAAACAUUACUUAUAGUAUUUGAAAAAGAAGUUAACUUGGACGAUAUAUCAGUUAUAGGAGAUUCACCUUUCAGUCUCUAUAAACCACUCAUUUUUAUUUAUAUAUAUUAUUACUUUCAUGUUUGGGAAAGAGUAACUGAAUUUCAAAGUAAAGAAGUUCAGAGUUGUUCAUUGCGAUAGUAAAAUUUCAAAGUAAAGUUCAGAGUUGUUCAUUGCGAUAGUAAAAUUUCUUCUCAACAUCCAACUCACAAUUUAAAUUUAAGUUCAGUUAUAGGAGUUUCACCUUUCAUUUUUAUUUUCUAUAAAGUAACCGAAGUUGAGAGAUUUUCUUUUUCAGUAUUGACAAAUGUUACUGCUCAUUGUGAUUGUAAAAGAUGUGUCACACUCUUUUGUAUCUCAUGGUUGCUAAGCAGCUAUGACGGAAGUGUUUUAUAUGAAUGAAAGUCUAGCUUUAGACAACUCUUCUCUGCACUUAUUAACCAUCGAAUGCUCGAUGUUGGCACAGAUGAAACCAUUGGUUUUUUGUUGAUUUUGGCACGAAACACAUAGAGUGGAAUGGCAGUGAACACAUAAUGGUGGAGUUUAGGCUAUCCAUGUCUGGUUUAAUCAAAUUUGAGAGCGAGAACAUCUUCUUCCAUUCUGAGUGGAAGCCGUUGAAAGUGGUUUGCAAGCCUCUGAGAUUUGAAUGUGGUGUUUUAUUGGGAGCUUUAGACUGCAUUAGAUUAGAUAUUGAGUAUUCUAUACAAUUGAAUGCUUCACGGUUAAAAGUUCUUCAAGCUCGAGAAGAUUAGUUUAAUAAAAUGAAAGAGGCAGCCAAUGAACUCUUGAAUGUGAGUGGUGAUCCAGAAUUUUAUAGAAACCACUUAAAAGAACUCAUUAUUCAGUGAAUAACAGUAACGGUAUCGGUACCUUCCGAAAUCAUUUUGUCGUGGCCGUUGAAAAUACAUUUGAUGCACGUUUGGAUGUAUUGUUUUGUAACAAACUUCCAGAGGCUUGAGGAACCAGUGUUGGUGAUGUUUUCAUUGUAUCAUAUUGUGCUUUUCAUGACAAAAGGAUAAUACCCAUUUAUGAGUUUAGAGUACAUGAAUUUUGUGCACCGUGAACAUGGUCUUUCUAGUGAAAAUAACAUCAAGUGAAAACCACCAAAUCUCAAUCUACUGAGGAUGUUGGGAACGCCUUGAUUUUCAACCGGAGUUUAGUGAAAUUCAUGUACGAGUUUGACUGUCAAUUAUGGUGAAGCUCUUUUUUUGCAUUUUGUUUUGUUUCUAGACAAAUUUUCAUCUGUUAUUGAUAUUACAGCUUCUGAAAGAAAUUAAAGUCGGAUUUGGUUUCUUUUGUA